rnacentral:lncRNA from 1 species
AAGACUUAGACCCAGAGAGGCAGUAACUGCCAAGAAAAUUCAAGAGUCGUAUAAUUAGAACAAUGGUCCAUAUAAGAAGAUAACCUGGUUUCUCAUGACAAUACAUGCACCCCCUACAGGGGACUCUCUAAGUUCUAGAGGCUGAGAAGAAUUUGAUUCCAUAUUUAGGGCAUCAUAAAUUCAAAGGGGUGAGAAAAAAUAUAAUAUUAGGACAAAACAUGUGCACGGAAGUACACAAGCCAUUUGCUCCGUAGAGAAACAAUAUAGUGAAAUGUCAGUGGACUUGGAAAUCAAAAACAAUAUCACAUAAGAGGAAAGCAACAGAUUCCACUUUCAAAUUCAGCUUUCCAACUUGGAAUUUGAAUUUGAAAGUGGAAUCUGUUGCUUUUCUCUUAUGUAAUCUUGUUUGAGAAACGCAGGUAAUCAGUUUCAAUCUUUUCAAUAAUGUGAAAGUCCUGAUAAUAUCUACUUCAUGGGAGUAAAUGAGAUAAUAUCUAUUAAAUUGCCAUAAAAUACUACAGUUUUACAAGUGUAAGCUAUUGUUAGCACUACCAAACAUAAUAAUUGUUGCUUUUUUGUUGACAGUUUUUUUUAUAAAUCAGGUAUUACAUUAAUGUCUUUACAUACAAGAUAUCAUUUAACCAUAAUUUACAAAUAAAAUCAUUCAAAAGUAUCUGAAAUAAAUGGUCAAGUCACAAAAACAAAUAUGUCUAUCAAAAAUAAUUAUUUCUAAGAAAUGGUUUGCCAAUGUUAUUUAGUAGAGGCUUCCCAAAUUCAGCAGAUGUGAAUUUACCCAUAAAACAGUAAUUGAUCCACAGGAAAUCAUGACUCAAAAUGUGGUAUAUGAAAAGAAAGCAAUCCUUCAUUUACAUAGAAUUGUCAUAUUUCGGGUAACUUAGUGACAUGGACAUUAAGUUUCAUGGAGAUUGGGAAAAAGGUGGGUCGAAAAUGGUGAGUUAGAAAUGAAGAAUAGAGGCCAGGCACGGUGGCUUACACCUGUAAUCCCAGCACUUUGGGAGGCCAAGGUUGGCGGAUCACCUGAGGUCAGGAAUUCGAGACCACCCUGGCCAACAUGGCAAAAAUACGUCUCUACUAAAAAUACAAAAAUUAGCCGGAUGUGGUGGUGUGCUCCUGUUAUCUCAGCUAUUUGGGAGGCUGAGGGAGGAGAAUGGCUUGAACCCAGGAGGCAGAGGUUGCAGUGAACUGAGAUCGUGCCACUGCACUCCAGCCUAGGUGACAGAGAGAGACUCCAUCUCAAAACAAAACAAAAAACAAAUAUAUUAACAGUCUAUUCUAUCAGACCCCUUAAUUUGACUCAACCAAAUCCUCAAGGACAUUUUGCCCUGGAUUAUUGAAAAUAUGGGCAAUUCAAUAAUAAUUUAGAUGUGGGCCUAUAACAUGAUAUGAAAAGAGCAAUUUUAAAAGUUGGUUUUGAGGUCAUACACAGAUGGGUUUGUGGGCAAAGGGUGAGGACAACUUCAUAGAUCAGACGUCAUCUGAGCUGGGUUAUGGAGCUAAAUAGGAAGCAUUCUUGUGAAUAAGUCAAGAAACAACAUUACAGAAGAAUGUUCACAUUGCGGAGGUUUGAAACCACUGGGGAAGAGCUGGGUCUUUUUGCAGCUUAACUACCUCCUAUCCCUCUGUGUCCCUCCACUUCUUCCUCUGUGCCCUCAGGGGAUUGUCUUUACAUAGGCAUUGCACAGCCCUUGCCUUUCCUAAGAUUUAGAAUCAGUCAAUGGGAGGCACUAGGCAUCCAAAGCACACUGGAAAAGAGAAAAUUAAGGCCAGGGAUGCAGUCCUUCGACUUUUUUCCUGUCACAUUACUUCAGGUUGGCUUUGUCACGUGACCAAAACAGCUCUCACUGAGCAGCCUUAAAUCUCUUUAUCCUGGUAAUGGUUCCUUCCUCUUUUCCCUUAGGCUCAGGAGGGUAAUUAAUAGCUCCUCCUUGAUGUUAGCCCCAGGGGACUGCAACUUCACUUUCUGGUUUCCUUUCACCCUGUCCAUAUUUGAACAGAAUAGUCUUUUUGUAAAACUUUCCUUUGUUACUCUCAGUUAAGUAUACCAUUUAUAUUCUGAUGAGACCCCCCAUUGAAAUAUUUACGUAACAUCACAACUAAAGAAAAAUCAAAAAUUCAUUCUGUGUAAUGUCUGGCCAGUCCCCCAAACCCAGGUUUAACUGAUUUGAUUUUUUUUCUAUUCUUUCUUCCCUCCUUUCCCAUUGAGAUGAAUGGACAUUUGAUAUUACCAAGAAUAUGCAUAAUGACUUGGAAGUUACCAUUUGAACAAUUGACAUUCUUGAGCAUCUUAGGUUGGAUUUCCUAGGAACAGAACCUGUGACAGGAAUUCAGGUGGAGCUGUUUUAGGCUGGGUGCUGUGGCCCAGGCCUGGAAUCCCAGCACUUCAGAAGGCCAAGGCAGGAGAAUCGCUUGAGCCCAGGAGUUCAAGAGCAGCCUGGGCAACAUGUUGAAACAUCAUCUCUAUACAAAUAUACGCACAAAAAUUAGCUGGACAUGGUGGUGUGCACCUGUAGUCCUAACUACUCAGGAAGCUGUGGUGGAAGAAUCACUUGAGCCCAGGAGGUCGAGCCUGCAAUAAGCUGUGAUUGCACCACUGCACUCCAGCGUGGAUGACAGAGCAAGACACCCUGUCUCAAAAAAAAGACUAUACAACAGAGCUCUGAAAAAGAUCACACUUUCAGGCUCAAGGAGCUCUCUUGUUCCUUCCACCAUCUGAGAACACAGUGAGAAGUCCCCAGGCUUCAACCUGAAAAAGGGCCCUCAUCAGAACCUGAUCAUCAGAACUUGGCACCCCAAUCUUUGUCUUCUGAUCUACAUUGUGACCUAAGUCAGGUUCCAAAAAGAAAGUCAGAAAGAGAAAUUUGGAGCAGAAUGCACUACACGGCUUUCUCCUGAGUAUGAAGUGUUUGCCUAGCUUCUUCAAAUGGAGCGGAUAUUGAACAAGAAGAAAACACAGAUUACUAUCUCAGCAGGAUGGAUGACUCUAUCAUGAUCCUCAUGAAAUCAGGUCUACGUAGGGUGUCUCGCCAAAUGCCACACCUCUUCCUGGAUUUACACACACACACAGAUUAAGCCUACAAUUACUCAAACUAAAACAUCUUAAAUUUGUGAUUUUGUGACCCUCUUUAUUUAUGGAGGAAAAUGAAAGGAGAGGGUGAGAGGGAGUCUUCUGAGGUGCAAAACAAAAAAGGAAAGACACCAGCAACCUUUCUGACCCACUGCCCUUGAUGUGGAAGGCACUGUCACAGGAAAGGCAGAAUCUUCUUUUUUCUCUCACAUGUCUAUAACCAAAGUGGCAUUUCUAUAUCAUUUUCAAGUUAAACCUCUACUUAGAAAAGCUUAGUGUAUGUUGUUUGGAAUGAACCAAACCCCAAUAAUGUAUACUUAUGCCAGGGUCAAUAACAACUUUAACUUCCAAAAAAGAAAAACAAAAAGAAAAACAAAUAAAAUGGAUCAAAUCUGUAGUUGGAGAUAGAUGUUGGCAUGUUGAGUUUCACUAACCCAGUGUUAGUGGGAAAAGUCUAUUUUUGGCAUAACAUUUUAGUGUCUCCCUUAUCGUGUUGACACAUUUUUAUCAACCCCUUGGACAUCUGCAAGGUACAACAAAAUAAAAUGGCAUUUCUUCAAAUGGAUGUUAUAAUUAAAACUUUAUGUAGUUCUUUAGUGCUACAAUAUUUACAUUGAAACACUAAAUUGAAUGUUUUCAUCUCAUUCAAUGUAUAUUCAUCAGAUACUCCUUCAAAAAUAUGCUAUUCUUUUCAGAAAAAAAUGGUAUUUGUAGUAUCAGAGACUUUUUGUAUAUGUUUAUUAAUUUGGCUGUAUAUUUCUCCUUCAUAAAUGUAAUCCUAUCUAGUCAUGUUUACAGAAGAAAUUAGACAAAAGCUUAGCUAGCUCAGUAACUGAAAAAGAGACACAAGUCUUGUACCAAGUUAUGAUAUCAUCUUUAUCUCAUAUUUAGUUCACAUCUAUGAGAAAUUUAUAGAUCAGUGCUACAUUACUUUAAGAUAAUUAAAAUUGAUAUAAUUACUUUCCUUAAACAGGUAAUACUGUGAUGGAUUAAACAAGACCACUGACUACAAAUAUAUCAGAUAUGUUUGUAUGUGUUUGUAUCUUAGAUUAUAUAUUUAAUUGCAUAAUACAUUUGGCCUAACUGGGUCAAAUUGAAUGAAUUCAGGUGGAAUGUUUUGGUAGAUAGUUUUACAUGAUUAUACAAAAUUAGGAAACAGCUACUUAACAGGAUAAAAUUUUACUAGGAGUUAAGGGAAAAGAAAAAACAGUGAUUUGGGACCCAAUGCAGUAUAUACUAAAAGUAAUUAAAAGAGGUUGUCAGUGGUGAAGGGAAAUCAGUAUUACAAAUCAAACAAGGCAAAAGCAAGAGGAAAACAAUCAAAGACUAGAAUUAUGAGUCUAACUGAAAAGACUAGUUAGGUUGAGUGAAAUCAAGGUGAUAAAAUGACAAUAACACAAAAGACACGUUAAAACAUUUGGGGUUACUCAAUUCCUCAAAUUAAAUGGUUAUGAUGUAUUAUAUUAAGAGACUUAUUAGACAUUAAAACUUAAAAGUGACAUAGAAGCUUUCAGAGGAGAAAAGGGAACACAGUUUGAGGUGCCAGCAUUUUCACAGUAAAUCUUAGGAAGAGGGAAUUUCAGAAUGCAGAUUUCACAACUUUCAAUUAUCUCUUAACAUUGUCUAUAAUGGAAGCACAGGAAAAGUAAAGCAGAACUUUCUUAAAUGUUGAACAGAACUUCUUACUGUGAAUCUAUGAACCAUUGUUUGUAGAACUUGACUACGUUUCAAUUAUAAUAACAGGUACAUUUCCCAAAAGAGAAUUACUACUUAACUCUGACUAAGGGGUUCCAGGGCCAAUUUAUAAUCACUUUAGGCCAACCAAUUUCCCCUUUGUCCAUCUGGGCAAAGCUAUGGUCACAGCUUUGCAGACAGCAGGUGCCCAUGUGGUAUGGCUGGGAGCCUUUCCUGGCUCCUGUGUCACUGCUCCUCUUCAGAGGAAUUUGGAUGAAGACACAAAAGUAUAAUCUUUCAAGUUUCAUGCUUUUCCCCUCAAAGGCAAGAAACCAGGAAAGAAUUACUGAAUCAUGUAUUCAGCAAGUUGUUGACUCCCUUGCUUAGUCUUAUGUUUAUGGUAGCUUCCAUUACAUUUUAACUCUAUUUUUAAGCUAACCUUUUAACUUUAUCUAACUGUCUCAUUCUUCAUCUUCAUUACUUCAAGGAUCAAGUUGACCAUUGAAGUCGGCCAUUCUGAUCAAAUCUCAGACCAAUUUAAAAUUCUCCAAAGAUUCCCCACUAGAUGUAUCCUGAACUUCAGAUUCCCUAUGAUAUCACAUGAGGCCUCCCUGACCUGGCCCCCAUGUUCUUCUGUAGUCUAGUCUCUAACCACAAUCUCUUUAACCUAUGAUUAAAUUUUUCCAGUAUAUAGAAAUAGUAUAACUGCUGAAUAUCUUAAUGGAUAAAUGGACACUAGACUGGCUCCAUUACCAUUGUUCAAGCACCUUUAUGAACUACAUGUCUGCUAAUAAACUUUUCAUUCCUUUCUCUCCAUCUAGCAAAAUUCUGUUCAGCCCAGAGUUUAUCAUAGUAUCUGAUGAAUACUAGCUACUUAACAUGUGUUGAAUGAAUAAGUUAAAACUUCUCCCAAGUCAAAUUCUACUUUCUUCAUAUGGUAUGUCCUCAUCUCCAUCUAGAAGUAAUUUCUCCCUAUGUUGAGUCCCCCAAGUAUUUAUUUUUAAGAAGAUUUGUAUGGCCACAUUGUGUAUAUUCUCUAUAUUUAUUAGGAAAUAUUUAAACAUUUUAUUUUUUAAAUAAAGACUAUAUCUUGUUUCCUCAGACUAUAAGUUUUAAAAUUCUUCAUAAUUUUAAUUAUAUUUUUCUUUGCCUCUUUCACAGAUUAUCAGUGUUCAAUAAUUGUGAUUUGAAUGGCAUUAUGCAGAAGAAAAAUACAUUCUAUCUGUCUCAAGUUAAUGGUGACAAUGAGGAUAUAAGAGGUUGAACCAAACAUGCCUUCAUUAAGCUACAGAACAAUUAUUAAGGACAAGAUGAAUAAAUAUCAGAUAAUAUGUUGAAAUCUGUACAUAUAAAGUGCUGUGGGCAUGCAAAACAUUGAAUUUAUUAGAGAAGUGAGGAAGAUUUAGGAUUUUCUAUGAGGUAUGGGUUUAAACAUUCUCUUGAAUCAGGAUUACUGGAAAAUCAUGAAGAGGGAAUUCCAUGAGGGUUUAUAGCACGAAUGUAAGAAUUACCAAAAGAGUUAUAAGGAAGAACAAGCAAAGUCAUUUGGCCUGAUGAGAGAAGUCAUGUUGAAAGUUAAGAAAAUAUGGGGUCAGCAAGAUAGAAAUGAGCGUUCAAUAGAACAUUUUUUUAAAAAGUUCUAGGAGCUAAGAGAGAGAGAGUUCUGCUUAUUUUCUAAUAGUGAAUUCUAUUCCAGUGACUAAAGUGUGACUGAGGUUUCAGAAGGAACUGGAACCUUCUUCAAGGCUUUUAUAAUCUUAACUGAUACAUCAGGAGUUAAGCGAUUGCAAAACUAGGGUCUGAAACUGAGGUUUCAGAAGGCUCUGGAAUCUUCUUCAAGGCUGUUAUAAUCUUAAUUGCUACAUCAGGAGUUAAGUGAUUGCAAAACUAAGGUCUUGGGUGUGGCAUGGCUAAUGUGACUUGGGGAGGUGGAAUGAAAAACCAUGCAAGCAAAUAAACUUAAUACUUUUAAAUAUUGCCCUUAAUCUUUUGCAAGCAGUUCCACAGUCAGGAGUCUGAAGCUGUCUUAUAGUUAUUGGAAGAAAACAGAGAAGAGUUUUUCACUCCUCUUAGAUAGAUUAUUAUAAACUUGCUUUAGUAAAUGAAUAUGCCCUAGUGAUAUUCCUAUUUUCGCUGAAUCUUUUGAGAUAUAUCAAAAAUAUAUAUAAGCAAUGUCCCUCCAAAAGAGAAAAAAUGUAUUCCAUUGGAUAUUGAUAAGAACCCAGCAAGGAAAAGAUAUUGCACCAAAAAAAAAAAAGAUUGAUUUGCCUAAUUUCAGUAUUACUUUUAACAGCAAUGAGAGAUUAAUGACUUAUAUUUAAAGCACGAUAUAAUUUUCUUGCAAUGAAUAUGGUACAUUAAGAUGUUAGCCUCUCAUUCUGCUUGUGAAAGAAAAGUCAGAUCUUUGCCAAAUAGCUUUGGUUUGGGGGACACCUAUCCCAGUCCACAUCUACUUGAGUAGCUAUUUAUAUGAGAUGGAAAAUGAAAACUUAACCUCAUUUAGUGACUAUGUGCACAGUCUGUGAGUAUUCAGUAAAAGUUAAAAACCAUCAGAACUGAAAAAAAAUUAGGCUGACAACAUUGAACAAAUGUGUGUAUUUAGUAAUUUAAAGAGCCCACCAAAAACAACCACUUGCUGUCUGUAAAAGUCAAUCAAGUCUUUGUAGUAUGUAAGAAGGGGAAAGAUCCUGUCAACUAUUCUGUGGCAAUGUCCUGGAACAGACUGACUUCUUGAAUUAAGCUCAAAAACAGCGGUCAGGAAUUUUGUUCUGUAUCCCAGAUGUGACCAGAUGUGAAGAAGUCCCUAGCUGAAAAAAAUGUAUAAACAAAACACAAAAUAAAAAAAAAAAAAGAAAAAGAAAGAAAGACCUGAACUAUUUAGAAAAUAUACUUGAUUAUUCUAAGUAAAUGUGUUUUACCCCCAAAACAGGAGCUAAAGAAAGCCCAUGGCGUAUUCAUUCCACAGGACUUUGCUUGCUGAGCCAGGGAAAAUGAACUGUCAAACUUAAAGUAACGGCCAUGUAGAAAGGACAGCCACAAAUGUACAGAAAGUUUCCCUUUCACAGACAAUUUUUAAAUAUAGAAUCUCAGUUAUCCAUGCAAUUGAUAUUAUCUCUCCAGCACAUUCUCUGUCAUUCAUUUGAUUUUUCAAUGUGCCUUAUUUUUAAUAUAAAAUAGCACAUUAUAGAUAAAGAUGCCAUAUUCUUUGAAUCUUUCUAGCACCUUUCCAGUUCUAUCUAUUGCCUCCUCCUUCCCUGAGCGUACAUUCAUUAUCAUGAAUUUAAUACCUCUUUCCUGUCCCAUUAAAAUAUUUUUGCAUACAUACAUAUAUGUUCAUGAAUGUUGCACUGUUCAUAGCAUCAUAAUACAUGUUUUCUGCCACUUUAUUUUUACUCAAAUUAUAUUUUUAAAAUCUAGGGUUUGUCUUUUAACAGCUGGGCUUCAUUCGACCAAAUAAAUAUAGUAUAUAUUAUUAAUCCAUUUCCCUCUGAGAGAAUUUGGGUUAUUUUCAUUUUUUUCCAUGUUGCAAAUAGCAUGUCAGACAUCUCAGCACGUAUCCUAUGCAAACGUGCAAGUGAAGCAUUGGUUAUGUUUCAAGCACUUUGCUGCAUAAUCUGGCUUAAUCCUCACACAAAGUCUAGGAUCAAUGUUGCUUUAUUGAUAUCUUGAAAAUUAAUAUAUCAAAAAGGUUAAGAAACAUUAUCAAGUUCACUCAACUGAUACAAAGGGAGUUGAGAUUGCAUUUUCACCUACUGCUAAUUGAAAUCUUGUUUAUUUAUUUGCUCACAUGCUUAUUUUUCUGCCACACCCACCAGAAUAUAAAUUCCAUGAAGACAAAUGUCUUUGAUUUCUGCCUUAUCUCCAUUGUAUUAUCUGCACCUGGCAUAGAAGAGGGACUGGAUAAGCACUUGUUAGAUGAAUAAAAUGAAUAAAAGAAUGGAUGAAUAAACACAAUUAUUUCCCAAAUGUUAAGAGAACCCAGAAGAGUAAAAGAACUGUAACCUGUUUUGGAGUCCCUGCAAAAAUUAGUUUCAAUUCUAGGCAGUUCCAUGUUCUAAAGAACCCAGAAGUGCUGUCCCGGGUUUGGCUUCUCAUGAAAUAUCUGUGUUUGCGACUGAGAAUUUGGGGAUGUGUAUACUUGGCAGGCAACCUUUGGAUCAUUUCAGAUGACAUACAGAGGGUUUGUGGUUCUGAAGAAUAAUUCUGGAAAGUCAAAGUCAGUAAUGUUCAGUGGCUUUGUAUAUUUUUGCUCAUUUUGUAAACUCUGGGGAAAAAAUAAGUCUGCAAAGUUACAGCCACAGGUUUCAUGACACAUCGUGUUCUUAAAAGUGAGUAAUUAGAAUAAUAUGAAUUGCUGGUGACUUAUACCACAAGAAUAGUCCUUUUUCUGGGAAAAAGACAUGUCGGUAAUACACUUUCUUUAAAAUCGUUGGCAAAACUUUUUCCAUUCCUUUGUUCUCUACCAUAGACAUCAGAUGGUACAUGAGGAAAACUCUGUUACUGUUAUCAGUGUUCAGGACUAUUAUCAGCAUGGGAUUUGUGUGAGUCAGAUGUUUACUUCUACAGUAUUGUUAUACUGAAACAAAUUGAGUAACCCUAAUUCAUGGAGAAUAAUUAGUUCUGUUUAUUAAAGUUUUUAGUUGGUUAAAAUAUACAAAAGCUUCUUUUUUUAAAAUCUUUUUUCUAGUAACUUCCUAAAAUGCAUUAAUAUUCUUUGUGGCCUUAGCGUAAUUUAGGGUCCCUAAAAGCCCGAGCUUUCUUUAGAGAUGUAGAACCUUAGAACCAUUCAACUUGCCAUCAGUUCUUGUAAGUUUUUGUAUGAGAUUGUACCAAAUCUGUAGACAUCACAAGUCAUAUCUUCUAAUUUACUUUUCAACGAAUAUGUCUUUUCUAUUGAUCUGUUUGGAUUCAUUCUAUUCUUGCCCAGAUAGGGUCCCAAUUAGGUAACUCUGUUGGAUUGUUCUUUUAGCAGCUUAAGCAUAAAAUAAACCAAUAUGGGAUAUUAAAAAAUCACAUAUGUCCAUAUAUUAAACUUUAUAUAAAUAAUACUAUUAACAGUAUUGAAAUUCCACCAACAUGAAAAACAAAAAUAACUUUCUUUAAAAGUUGAAAUGGUGACUUUAUAGCAUACAGUUUCUUAGAAUAGCUUCUACUUUCUUAAUCCUGGAAUGAUUAUGGGGGUUUUUAAUUGGUAAAUAUUUGUAACCUGUACUUAUUUUUUUCAAAAAUAUGUUAUGUUCUGUUACCUCUAUGUUAUAAAUUAUAAUGGCAUACUAAAUUAGAAAUGAGCUCUUUGUGCUUAUGUCUUAAUUUUUUGUAUGGAAUUUUUUAUUUGGAAAAUUUCAAAAACAAAAGUUGAGAAUAGCAUAAUGAACCCAUGAAACUGUGACCCAGGAGCAGCACACAGCCAAUCUUGUUUCAUCUCUAUCUGUCCACUUAUUUAAUUUUAUGCAUUUCUAGUAUAAAUGUUAAAUGGUAGAAACACCACUGAACAGAAGGCAGAAGGUCUGAGUCUGAGUCUUCGCUCUACCCUGUAGAAGGCAUUUAAUUUAGUCAUAACUCAGUUACAUCCCCUACAACAUGGGACACGUGUGACCAAAUACCUUUAAUCUCUCUUUGUCAUCUUGUUUUACACACUAAGUUGUAGUAGUAUAUUUUCGGUCAGUGUAGUCCAGUGAAUGCACUCUGCAUCUUCAGUGACCUUUCUCUUGGUGCAGGUAUAAUCUAUCUGCACCACAAAGGCAAAAUUAUAACCAACUUAAAAAUAAAAUAGAACUUGCAAUGGAAUAGUUCUACUAGCCGCAGUUAUGCAACCAUUAUAAUGAUGUCAACAUUUAAAAAAUGCUGAUGCACAAUAAGAGGUACAGGCUAGAUUUAAAUUGAUUAUAUAUUUUAUAUAAAUAUAAAAUCAAUGAAAAAACUUCCAAUAUUAUACAUGUGCUGUAAAAAGAAAACAUUCUGAAAUAGGCUGAUGGCAUUUCAAAAGCAGUCUAAAAUUAUUUUUAAAAAUUGUUUUAUCUUGGUGGUAAAACAAAAUAUUAUGAAAUUCAUUUUAAUAUGAUGAAGUUUCAAUAAAUCUAACAAUUAAAAUUGAUUACACAUGUAGAAUCCAUGCAAAAAAAUAAGUCAGUGAAAUAGAAUCACCUUCAUGUCAUGGGUUGUCAUUGUUUGCUUGUUAUUAACCCUGUAAUGCCACACACCUACUCUGCCUUGUCCAUUGCUGUAUUCCCAGCACCUAGCAGAGUAUAUAGUACACACACACAAAUUUAUGAAUUAAUGAAUUUCAGAUCAGUGUAUGCUAUGAAAAAAACAUAAAUACAACAAAUUUGAAUCAUGUCUAUCUAGUUAUUUGGUUUAGACAUAUUGAUAUGAUUUUUCACAUAUGUUCUAAUACAUUUUUGAUGCUGAUUAUAUUACACCUAUCUCUAUCUUUCCAUUUAGAUAUGGAUAAAGUCUUACAUGCAUUUAGCAAUAAAUUUCAUAAGGUUAAGUUGAUUGAAAAUAAUCGGAAUUUGUAAAGAAGAACAAAUAUGUCUGUGGACAAAAUCUGUAAGCAAAAAAUAUACAAAAAGAUCCCAAUGCACUGAGAUAGGAUGUGUUAUGAGGUGAAACUGAUCAAGGAUAACUAUGACACCUUUGCUCAUGUAUAGUCAACUGAAUUCACUGUCACAAAAUAAGGGGUCAUAUCUUAGCCCCUUUUUUGGUUAUCAGAACAUUCAAUAUCAGAUGAUUUCAUGACCAAAAGGAUAUCAUAUCCAUCUUCAUUAAGGACAGUACCACAGGUAAACCUAGGGCGGCACAGUCCAACUCUGUACUGGUUGGUAAAUUCUUGGACUAUUUCUUUCAGUUCUGAGUACCUUCAUUUAGAAGGAUUUAGAUGGAUUAAAAUAUAUUUACAAAAGAAUAACACAACAUCGCUUAUGAGAAAUGUUUAAAGAAAGAGAAAUAUUUAACCUAGAGAUGUGGAAUUUUGUUAAAAG